GACGAACGCUGGCGGCGUGCCUAAUACAUGCAAGUUGAGCGCUGAAGGUUGGUACUUGUACCAACUGGAUGAGCAGCGAACGGGUGAGUAACGCGUGGGGAAUCUGCCUUUGAGCGGGGGACAACAUUUGGAAACGAAUGCUAAUACCGCAUAAAAACUUUAAACACAAGUUUUAAGUUUGAAAGAUGCAAUUGCAUCACUCAAAGAUGAUCCCGCGUUGUAUUAGCUAGUUGGUGAGGUAAAGGCUCACCAAGGCGAGGAUACAUAGCCGACCUGAGAGGGUGAUCGGCCACAUUGGGAGUGAGACAAGGCCCAAAGGGCUACGGGAGGCAGCAGUAGGGAAUCGUCGGCAAUGGACGAAAGUCUGAACGAGCAACGCCGCGUGAGUGAAGAAGGUUUUCGGAUCGUAAAACUCUGUUGGUAGAGAAGAAAGUUGGUGAGAGUGGAAAGCGCAUAAAGUGACGGUAACUACCCAGAAAGGGACGGCUAACUACGUG
rnacentral:rRNA from 1 species